CUGCAAUCAACCGACUAUGCAAAAGGCAAUUCACCAAAGAAGCUUUGAUGCUCUUACCGAUUAUGCUAUCUGUUGGUGUUUAUCCAGAUAUUCAGCUAUACUAUGUGCUGGGUACAGCUAUACGGAAGAGUAAUGAGUUUUUCUAUCUACCCAUAUUACAAGCACUUGCUACAAAAACUGGCCUUUAGUACUUGGAGCAUGUGUUUAGUUGCAAUGUCGGCCAUGUUUUAAUAGGUGGGCAUUACAGUGUUGCCCGCAGUCAAUCACUCGGUCGGUAUAUGCGUGCUUAAGCAUAAGAGAUGGCAAGGAAACCAACUUGCUUUCUAGGAGACGCAGAGAAGCUGCGGGCAUGAAGCACCGUCACCUGAAGCUGAUAUCAUGAUUGUAGGAGAUGCAGAGAAGCUGCGGACAUGAAGCACCGUCACCGAAGCUGACGGACGUGAAAUGUGUUUCAGCUUUCAAACUUGCCAGGUGCCAUCAAGGUGCCAAACAGGUUGAAUUUCUCCCACAUGACGACAAUCGCGUCUUUCGGGUGCUCACAGUGCAGGCAUCCUCGCUGAAAACUAAGUUGAUCCAGGGGAAUCCAUGAAGCAUGAAGAUCAUGCACUGUACUUUUCGGAUGUGGACGAGGACAAAGGCCAUGGUAGGCGCCUAGGCCUCCCCACGGAAGGGCAUAUGGGCAGGGUGGCCCCCGGGAUCUCUCGUCCAAGUCCCGGAGAUCUCUUCCACCAGCUAGCAUCUCUGAUAUCUGCGUGAGCAUCAUAUCAGGCGCACGGCCGAAAGCCAAAACUUCAGGGCAGGGCAGGUGAGAGAAAUAGCACAUGCAUAGCGAUGCACAGACUGGACAGCUGCUGAGCUGCUCAGCAUUCUAUUUUCCAUGUAACGACAAUAC